rnacentral:rRNA from 1 species
GAUGAACGCUAGCGAUAGGCUUAACACAUGCAAGUCGAGGGGCAGCACGGUGUAGCAAUACACGUGGUGGCGACCGGCGUACGGGUGCGUAACACGUAUGCAACCUACCCGCUAGUUGGGGGAUAACCCGGCGAAAGUCGGACUAAUAUCCCAUAUUAUUCUUACCGGGCAUCCGGUGAGUCUGAAAGAUUUAUCGAUUGCGGAUGGGCAUGCGGAUGAUUAGCUAGUAGGUGGGGUAACGGCUCACCUAGGCGACGAUCAUUAGGGGUUCUGAGAGGAAGGUCCCCCACACUGGAACUGAGACACGGUCCAGACUCCUACGGGAGGCAGCAGUGAGGAAUAUUGGUCAAUGGGCGCUAGCCUGAACCAGCCAAGUCGCGUGAAGGAUGACAGAUCUAUGGUUUGUAAACUUCUUUUGCAGGGGAGUAAAGUGCGACACGUGUGUUGUAUUGCAAGUACCCUGCGAAUAAGCAUCGGCUAACUCCGUG